AGGUUCUUGGAAGGCUGUGAGGCUCGGCAGUCACUGAACUUGGGAGCUGAAGAAUACUGGACGGGGCUUCGGAGAGGAAGGAUGGUCCAGGCGCACCCCAGGGGUUGCGAUGGGCUCUUCUUGGUGUCUGUAUGGUUGCUGCAAUGCUGGGGUGAAAACAACACGGCUAGAAGCUCAUUCUGAAAUGGGGAGCACUGAAAUUUUGGAAAAGGAGACCCCAGAAAAUCUCAGUAAUGGUACCAGCAGCAAUGUGGAAGCAGCCAAAAGGUUGGCCAAACGCCUUUAUCAGCUGGACAGAUUCAAAAGAUCAGAUGUUGCAAAACACCUUGGCAAGAACAACGAAUUUAGCAAACUAGUUGCAGAAGAAUAUCUGAAGUUUUUUGAUUUUACAGGAAUGACGCUGGAUCAGUCACUCAGGUAUGACUAAGCCUCCUUGCUGCUCGUCAUUGCUUUCAAAUGAUUAGUUCUUAGAGAAGAAAGUAAUGUCUUCUAGCUAGAAUCUUAUUUUUUUUUUUUAAACCUCCAUGUAUAGGUGGAGUAUUCCUUCUCCAAAAUGUUUGGGUCCAUAAGUGUUGUGGA
rnacentral:lncRNA from 1 species